rnacentral:rRNA from 1 species
AUUAUGGCUCAGGAUGAACGCUAGCUACAGGCUUAACACAUGCAAGUCGUGGGGCAGCAUAUAGAUAGCUUGCUAUUAUGAUGGCGACCGGCGCACGGGUGAGUAACGCGUAUCCAACCUUCCCCAUAGUAGGGUAUAGCCCGGCGAAAGUCGGAUUAAUCCCCUAUGUUGUUUGAAGCGGACAUCUAAUUCAAACCAAAGAUUUAUCGCUAUGGGAUGGGGAUGCGUCUGAUUAGGUUGCAGGCGGGGUAACGGCCCACCUGGCCGACGAUCAGUAGGGGUUCUGAGAGGAAGGUCCCCCACACUGGUACUGAGACACGGACCAGACUCCUACGGGAGGCAGCAGUGAGGAAUAUUGGUCAAUGGGCGCGAGCCUGAACCAGCCAAGUAGCGUGCAGGAAUGACGGCCUUACGGGUUGUAAACUGCUUUUAUGCGGGGAUAAAGUGCGGCACGUGUGCCGUUUUGCAGGUACCGCAUGAAUAAGGACCGGCUAAUUCCGUGCCAGCAGCAGC